AAAUAGAUACCCUGGUAGUCCACGCCGUAAACGAUGAGUGCUAAGUGUUAGGGGGUUUCCGCCCCUUAGUGCUGGCAGCUAACGCAUUAAGCACUCCGCCUGGGGAAUACGGUCGCAAGACUGAAACUCAAAGGAAUUGACGGGGGCCCGCACAAGCGGUGGAGCAUGUGGUUUAAUUCGAAGCAACGCGAAGAACCUUACCAGGUCUUGACAUCCCACUGACCGCUAUGGAGACAUAGUUUUCCCUUCGGGGACAGUGGUGACAGGUGGUGCAUGGUUGUCGUCAGCUCGUGUCGUGAGAUGUUGGGUUAAGUCCCGCAACGAGCGCAACCCUUGAUCUUAGUUGCCAUCAUUUAGUUGGGCACUCUAAGGUGACUGCCGGUGACAAACCGGAGGAAGGUGGGGAUGACGUCAAAUCAUCAUGCCCCUUAUGACCUGGGCUACACACGUGCUACAAUGGACGGUACAAACGGUUGCCAACCCGCGAGGGGGAGCUAAUCCGAUAAAACCGUUCUCAGUUCGGAUUGUAGGCUGCAACUCGCCUAC
rnacentral:rRNA from 1 species